ensembl:lncRNA
CAGUUUUUCAUCAUUUGAUCUGCUCAAAUUGCAGAGCCUCCCACACUCUUGAAACACAUUCGAUUGAUUCAUACCAUGAUUAAAGAGAGAUUAAAGAAGAAGCAUAAUGCAUUUCUCCCCAUAAAGCAUAAAUAAUAUAAAUGCACACAUUGAUAUUUUAGCUAUUUGAUUCAUGUUAUUUAUUGUGUGCAUAGCUGUGUAACAGAGUAACACAGACAAGUUUAUAUUCACUUCUGAAGAGAUACACACUUGAACUAGACCAUUCAAUACAGUAAAUAUAUGACAAGAGUAACCUUGGCUAAGAGUAAAAGUUUACAAGGGCAGAGGGGGCCUCCUUUAGCUCUGUGCCCUCUGCCUCUCCUCCUCACUCAAUUUUUGCCCCGAAGAGGAGACCCAGCUCGUUCAGGCUCACUGAAAGCAUGGCUAUAUUUAACGUCCAAUGAAAUAUUUAUCCACUGGCUGAUACACGGGAGAAAGAGGAUGUGCAGAGCCAGCACAAACAUGGGGAAUGAGCCAGAGACAGAGAGAAAGCCAGAAAAUGAGUGAAAGUGAGAACAUGGAAGGGGUUCAAAUCAUGUGAAAACAGAACGCUUACAUGAGUACAUUUGCAAAAAUGUUGCAUAUUGACAUGUUUGCACAAAUGUUUACUCUGUUGUUUUAUUCACCCAUUUUUUUUCUUUCCGUGCUUGUUCCAAAUGCAAAAUGGUAAACAUGAUCAUUAAUUCACAAGACAAAUAAAAGAGGAACAUGAUUUUAAAUUCAGAUUCAUCUUUUAAGAACAGACUUCAGACGCUUUCCUCAGCACCUAAAUUAAUCACACCUUUUUAAAGUCACUCUCAAUCCCUUUAAACAGAUGAAAUCCCAUUUCAGAGGUGUAAUGUAUGUUCUGCUUAAACACAUAUAAUACAGCUAUUUAUAAGUUGUAUGGUUACACUCAAUGAAUUAUGCACUAUGUGCACUUGCUGUAGCUGAUAGUAGGCAGGUCUCUAGAAGGAGGUUUGGAAAGGCUUGGAAGCAAACUAGUGAGCUUGUGAAACUCAUAUGGAAACAUAACACACCAGCACGUCAGUGUGUAUCAAGUUUAGAGGUGAUAUGGUUAUUUAUUUUCCUACUGGAUCCUUUCUGUUUUUUUCUCUCUCUUAAGAUUGGCCUAACCUGUAAGUUUUUUUUUCUCCUUUUCUGGAAAAUAUCCAGCAGUGGCAUGGCGGCACAGUGGGUAGCAUUGCUGCUUCAUUGCACCAGGGUCUCUGGUUUAAUCGUGAGCUUAGGUUACUGUGUGUGGAGUUUCACACGUCCUCCCUGUGUUUGUGUGGGUUUCCUCACACUAUCCAAGUACAUGCAGUUAGGUAUGAUUGUGUGUGUGUGUGUGUGUGUGUGUGUGUCUCUGUGUAUGUGUGUGUGUGUGUGUGUGUGUGUGUGUGUGUGUGUGUGUGUGUGUGUGUGUGUGAGAGAGAGAGAGAGAGAGAGAGAGAGAGAGAAAGAAAAAUAGAGAGAGAGAGAAAGAGAGAGAGAGAGAGAGAGAGAGAGAGAGAGCAAUAGAGAGAGAGAGAGAGAGAGAGAGAGAGAGAGAGAGAGAGAGAGAGAGAGAGAGAGACAUUGUGUGCUGCUUUUUUUUUUAGUAAGAUGACUGGUAGAAAACAGAGACACUGCGGCCAACAUAGAACCAGGCAGAGAAGGGAAAAUGAGAGACACAGUCAGAAGGAGGCUGGGAAAUAGAAGGAGGGGGAAGAAGGGAGUGAUAAGAAGAGUGAGGGAGUCUUUAGAGAAUAAAAGAGACAGUAGAGACACAGGAAGUGAGCGGAUCCACUUUACUCCACACAAAGCCUUAGGGCACUAAAUAGAUAGUGACAUUUUAAACAGUAUGCAUAAUGAAUAAGGGUUAGCAAUGAGAAAAACACUACUGAGGAAUAGCCCCUCUGCUGCCAUCUUAGGAGCAGCACAAAUGUGCACACUGCUCAACUUAAACUCUUGAACAGGCGAUGAGCAUCCUGACAAAUAUACAGGUAGAUUUAAUGUUUGAGGGCAACAAUUACAUGGCACUGAAAUGAAUGUAAACUGUGGCAUUACUGUGCAAUGAAGGUGUGAGUGAAGCCAGCCAUCAUGAGCUACCUACAGUCAUGAAGGUCAAAGAUAUCACAUACUAAUAGAAAUAAUGCAAGAUUAUUUUCAUGAUUUUUUAAGAGAUGUCAGUCAGUGCAGUCCAGACGCUCCUCCAAACCAGCAGAGAGUGACAGAGAGCAUCUGAAUAGCUAGGUUGUUCAACUUAUUCUUUGCAGUUAAGCAGACCACACAACAACAGGCACAUGGAGGGGCACUGUCAAGUCUAAUCCUCUUAAAGUAGAUAUACAGGCUGUCAGGCCUGGUGCACAUUACCAUAUAUCACAAACUGCACAGUACAGCCCAGACUUAAGCUUCUGAAAUGGAUGUGAUGAGAGAAUAGACAGAAAUGAAAUGGAAACAUAAACAGAUGAAUAUCCUGUCGUGGAUUCUAUGUCUUAGAGAAGGAAAAAGGGUGCUUGGAGAAAGCUUUGACAGCACAACUAUAUGUGAAAAACUCUUGGUCACAGGGCAGGUGAAAGAAAGACAUAGAAUAAGAGAUAGACAGAGUGUUGUGACAAGAGAAAGAGACAUAGUGACAGACCAGGGAUGAGUUUUGGAAGGGGGUAUCUGUCUUCCAGUUUGAGGCAAUGUCAUUCUCUCCCUAAUCCAUCAGGAAGAGACAGAGAGGGCAUAGUGGGGAAGGGAGCAAGACAGCAAAUAAAAAAAAGUAAGGCAGAGAUAACUUUAAUAUGUUUGUGUAUAAAAUAUUCAAGAUCCCUGGAUUAAUCUGCUGCCUCUCUGUGGCCACAGGGAGGACAGGAAGCUCAAGGUUUACCUGCCUUCUGCCACUAGAACUCCUUUGAGGACAAGGCAUUUUCCAGGGCAAAGACCAUCUUCCAUUAACUUGAUGAUGAAGUGCAAGGGGCAAAACGAUGAGCAACGAUCUGUUUAUUAAUCACAGAUUUGCAUGCUACUGUUUGUCUGAUUAAUAAACAGGAGACAUGCUCCCUUCCCCUGUGUAGUGUAAAUGCACAGAGGCUGAUUAAUGGCAUCGGUUUGGGAUGUGUAAUGAGAGCUGACCCCAUGAGCCCAAAGCCCUCACCCACUGUAAAAAUGCUCACUGGCACACGCCUGGAGGGGUACAGGAGCUAAUCUAGGCUAUCAUAUCCACAGCUGCCCCAUCUGGACAAGCACAAGCACAAGCACACACACACACACACACACACACACACAC